AGUGAACGCUGGCGGCAGGCCUAACACAUGCAAGUCGAACGGCAGCACAGUAAGAGCUUGCUCUUACGGGUGGCGAGUGGCGGACGGGUGAGGAAUACAUCGGAAUCUACUUUUUCGUGGGGGAUAACGUAGGGAAACUUACGCUAAUACCGCAUACGACCUACGGGUGAAAGCAGGGGAUCUUCGGACCUUGCGCGAUUGAAUGAGCCGAUGUCGGAUUAGCUAGUUGGCGGGGUAAAGGCCCACCAAGGCGACUAUCCGUAGCUGGUCUGAGAGGAUGAUCAGCCACACUGGAACUGAGACACGGUCCAGACUCCUACGGGAGGCAGCAGUGGGGAAUAUUGGACAAUGGGCGCAAGCCUGAUCCAGCCAUACCGCGUGGGUGAAGAAGGCCUUCGGGUUGUAAAGCCCUUUUGUUGGGAAAGAAAAGCAGCAGGUUAAUACCCCGCUGUUCUGACGGUACCCAAAGAAUAAGCACCGGCUAACUUCGUG
rnacentral:rRNA from 1 species